GAUGUGGAUCCAUUAGAUACCCUGGUAGUCCAUGCCGUAAACGUUGGGCACUAGGUGUGGGGAACAUUCCACGUUUUCCGCGCCGUAGCUAACGCAUUAAGUGCCCCGCCUGGGGAGUACGGCCGCAAGGCUAAAACUCAAAGAAAUUGACGGGGGCCCGCACAAGCGGCGGAGCAUGCGGAUUAAUUCGAUGCAACGCGAAGAACCUUACCAAGGCUUGACAUAUACUAGACCGCCUCAGAGAUGGGGUUUCCCUUCGGGGCUGGUAUACAGGUGGUGCAUGGUUGUCGUCAGCUCGUGUCGUGAGAUGUUGGGUUAAGUCCCGCAACGAGCGCAACCCUCGUUCUAUGUUGCCAGCACGUAAUGGUGGGGACUCAUAGGAGACUGCCGGGGUUAACUCGGAGGAAGGUGGGGAUGACGUCAAAUCAUCAUGCCCCUUAUGUCUUGGGCUUCACGCAUGCUACAAUGGCCGGUACAAAGGGUUGCGAUACUGUGAGGUUGAGCUAAUCCCAAAAAGCCGGUCUCAGUUCGGAUUGGGGUCUGCAACUCGA
rnacentral:rRNA from 1 species